GCCAUUACAUGUAGAGUUCGGGUUCAGCUGAUCUAGAUGAGCUUGUUAUUUGAUUUCAGGUCAGUAAGCAGUUUUUUCAGUAGAAAUUCACACAGUUAUCUGAUAUAGAUCUCUGUACAAGGAGUUGACAUGCAGUGCAGUUCUUCAGCGCAGGAUUUCGCUGGAGUUCAGCUGCAUUCGCUUCACAGGAGCCGAACCCUCCAGAGACACCGUACCGCACUGCUGACUGUUUAAUGAUGCACACAAAGAUAACAGUGCAGUGAUAGAGGAUAUACUUUAUGAUAAACACAAGGAGAUAAGUAUAAUAAUCACUUAUUCUGUAGUACCUUGGCUCAGAUACAGCAGUGUGGAGUGUGUAAUGUCUCUAGCCUAGUUAUGUCAGAGCGUGUGUGUAAUAAAUCGCACUAAAACACAGUGAACUCAUUUUUAGAAUGGUGUCGAGUUUGUGUUAGUGUGACCUUCUGCCAAAAUGACCUUGAUAUGAGAAUACCAUAUCAAAUGUGUGUGUGUGUGUGUGUGUGUGUGUGUGUGUGUGUGUGUGUGUGUGUGUGUGUGUGUUUACUUGGUUUCCAUAUACAGACAUCUCUGCUCAGAUAUAAAACAGAUGUCCUGGGAGAGGAAUAAAUACAAGAGGCUGUUUUAUUACAAGAACAUUACAGGAGUUGUACAAGGAUUUAUUUAAUAGAACUUUCACAGCAUCAGGAAAACAAAAAGCUCCUGAGUUUAAGACGUGUAUCAGGAAUGAAUUCACAACCUCUAAAGACAGAUGACUUUAUAAUUCUAGAGAAAUGAAAGUCAUCAGUACGAUGAAGGAGAACAUAUACAGUAGUAAAGAACAUAUAGUAAUGAACAAAAUAAAAGUUACAGAAAUACUUGAAUAAAGCGACUGAACACAGACUGUAGCAGCAAGUGGAACACGACACGAGUCCUGAUAAAGACGAUCAGUUUAGAGAUCAGGAGAGAGGAGAAGAUCUCUGCGUUUACACACAACAUUAAGAAGUUUCUAUCUUUUUUCUGACCUUUAGUGUAGUGCUCUCUCUCUCUCUCUCUCUCUCUCUCUCUCUCUCUCUCUCUCUCUCUCUCACACACACACACACACACUCUCUCUUUCUCUCUCACACUCUCUCUCACAUGCUCUCUCUCUCUUCCUUUCCCUCCCUCCCUCCCUCCCUCCCUCCCUUUACCCCCUCUCCUGUUUCCAGUUCUCCCUCUUCCCCUUCUCGAGCACAUACUGCACAUAACAAAAGGUCUGAGAUGGAAUAUGACUAGACAGAUUAGACUUCUUCAUUUAAAUCAUGUAAGAAUUUAGAAAGUUUCAUUUUUCUUGCCUAUAAAAAUGCAUUCUCACAUCCCCUGGACUCAACAAAAAACUUUUUCUGGACCCAUAGCUGACUACAACACGAGGAACAACACUGAACAUGAGGCCAACAUGAUGGUCAUUAGUGUCUUACACAAAUCUCUAAUCAUACACAAUAAGCAUACAUGACAAAAUACACAUCCACAUUUAUCAGGUAUAGUCUGAGUCUUAUUAAUAAUAAUAAUAAUAAUAAUAAUAAUAAUAAUAAUAAUAAUAAUUAGGCAACUAAAUAAAUGUAAGACAGCAGAAUAGUUUCUUUAUAGUUUCUUUUAAUUCUGUCUAGUGUACAUUUUGUUCAAUCCACUCACAUUAACUGAAUAAAAUCUGUGAUAAAUGUCUUGUUCAGAUUUAAUAUAUGCAGCACAGUUUAAUCAUAACGACAAAACCUUUACAAUCUACACGUAGCACUUAGAACAUUCACAUACACACUGAAAAUAUAAAGAUGAACACUCAGAGAUAUGCACGAUCAUCAAACCAUGCAUGAUAUAGUUCUUAAGGCUCCCUUUUAAUAAACUAUCGUCUCUACUGCAUCAUCCAUUCAUCUAUCCAUCCAUCCAUCCCUUCCUUCCUUCAUUCACUCUUCAGUCCUUUCAGGUGAGCAUAAGGUGUGUGAAUUCUGACUCAGUGACUUGACAUUCUCUUUUUGCAUUCAAAAAUAAGGUGAAUUUGAAGGAUAAUAAAAGGCUGCAGGAACCAGCGAUCGAUCUAUUUUGGUUAUUCUGUCACGUGGUGAGAGAAUCAUCUGUAAUGCUUUUAAAGAAUUCUAAGAAAAGUAUAAUGCAGUGUUUGAUAAAUACUACCUACAUCCAUCUGUAUUAAUAUCAGCUCAUACACGAGCAGUGAGGGACCACAGGGGCCACAGGGGCAACAGGGGCAACAGGGCAGCACCCUGAGGAAAAAUAAAUAAUCUGACCCUCAAGUUGACCUGAACCCGGGACACUGCUAGUGCCCUUAGAACAUUGAGUGAACAAAAUCUUAGUCUUAGAACAAAAUGACAGGUUUUAAUACACAAUUUUGUGCUGCUGCUGAUGAUGAUGAUGAUGAUGAUGAUGAUGAUGUCUGUGGGUCAAACACUCUUCCUCAGACACACCAGGAUGCUGCGACUAGUUCAUUACUGUGUAAGUUAUACAGAUGAUUCUCACGUCCACUGAUGGUUAUGAGGUGUGAAGAAGACCAGUUAAAUACAGACCUGUGUGUAACACCAAUCUGUCUGGAAGAGAAACCUGAACUUUAGGACUAAAUCCACUAAAAUAAAAGUUUGGUCACAUUUUAAGUUUUUGGUCUUUUUUUUUAAACAAGUAAAAGACAAACAGUAGAUUUACUGCAAUAGCAGAAAACUGGUACAGCAAAAUUCCUCAAGUGUUGAAAAUCACCGUUCAUUUAUUUAUUUAUUUGUUUUAAAUCUGUAUAUUGUUGCUCACCAAACUUCCUGCCAAGCCUCAGUGUCAUUCUUCCUCAACACAACACAGCUCUUACUGAAUAUUUACAACAUGCGAUGGAUUCAAAAACAUGCCACAAUUCAGUACUAAAGUAAGUAGUAAGAUCAGUUGUAGAUGUGGAGAUGAGAAUGUUUUACUGUUUUAUGUCCAAACUAAAGCGUGAUCUUUAAUAUUACAUAAUCAUACUCAGGACUCUAUAGCUGUUAAUAUAACCACAACAAUUACUGUGGAAUACCUUAAAUACACAUCUCUAGCAUUUCUUAUUAUAAGAUUAAAAUAAACUAAAUAAAGUUCAUUAGCAUGUUUUAGCUAUAAGUUUAUUGUAUUGUGGACUAUAGAGAUUAAUAAUGAUCGAUUGGUGUAUUUUAACUUUAUAACAGGAAAUACAAGAUAAGUCUCAGUAUAUUUAAGAUCAUUUCACUCGUUAACGUAACAUUUUUGCAGUGCACGGAUAUUUGCAUAAGAAAGAGCUACACAGUUGUUUAUGUUUUUCUACAUUAAUGAUGCUAAAAGUUUAGAAACUAAUUAAAAUCACUGGUGUCAGAUACGUCCAGAGCUCCAGUGUGGUUCAGUUACAAAUAUAAUGUAAUGAUAGAUCAGAUAUAAUCAAACAAUGUAAACAUAUAUGUAUCACACACACACACACACACACACACACACACACACACACACACACACA